rnacentral:rRNA from 1 species
ACCGGCGCACGGGUGAGUAACGCGUAUCCAACCUGCCCUUUACUCGGGGAUAGCCUUCUGAAAGGAAGUUUAAUACCCGAUGAAUUCGUUUAGUCGCAUGGCUUGAUGAAGAAAGAUUUAUCAGUAAAGGAUGGGGAUGCGUCCCAUUAGCUUGUUGGCGGGGUAACGGCCCACCAAGGCGACGAUGGGUAGGGGUUCUGAGAGGAAGGUCCCCCACAUUGGAACUGAGACACGGUCCAAACUCCUACGGGAGGCAGCAGUGAGGAAUAUUGGUCAAUGGGCGCGAGCCUGAACCAGCCAAGUAGCGUGGAGGACGACGGCCCUACGGGUUGUAAACUCCUUUUAUAAGGGGAUAAAGUUGGCCAUGUAUGGCCAUUUGCAGGUACCUUAUGAAUAAGCAUCGGCUAAUUCCGUGCCAGCAGCCGCGGUAAUACGGAAGAUGCGAGCGUUAUCCGGAUUUAUUGGGUUUAAAGGGAGCGUAGGCGGGCAGUCAAGUCAGCGGUCAAAUGGCGCGGCUCAACCGCGAAAUUCCGCCGUUGAAACUGGCAGCCUUGAGUAUGCACAGGGUACAUGGAAUUCGUGGUGUAGCGGUGAAAUGCUUAGAUAUCACGAGGAACUCCGAUCGCGCAGGCAUUGUACCGGGGCAUUACUGACGCUGAGGCUCGAAGGUGCGGGUAUCAAACAGGAUUAGAUACCCUGGUAGUCCGCACAGUAAACGAUGAAUGCCCGCUGUCGGCGACAUAGUGUCGGCGGCCAAGCGAAAGCGUUAAGCAUUCCACCUGGGGAGUACGCCGGCAACGGUGAAACUCAAAGGAAUUGACGGGGGCCCGCACAAGCGGAGGAACAUGUGGUUUAAUUCGAUGAUACGCGAGGAACCUUACCCGGGCUUGAAUCGCAGGUGCAUGGGCCGGAGACGGCCCUUUCCUUCGGGACUCCUGCGAAGGUGCUGCAUGGUUGUCGUCAGCUCGUGCCGUGAG